rnacentral:pre_miRNA from 1 species
CUCCUACUUCCUCUGUUCCACAAUACAUGUCUUCUAUUUGUCAAAAUAUAGAUGUAUCUAGACAUGUUUUAGUAUACAGGUACAUCCAUUUUUGGACUAAUGAAAGUCAAGUAUUUUGGAACGGAGGGAGUAAAAU